AACAUCAAGCGAUGCAGUUAUUGACAGAUAAGGCGGAGCGACCUGAUUGGUUUUUUUUUUUAUUUGUAUAACGUUUAUUGGUUCGAUUAUAUAAAUUUGUUUUGAAAUGGUAAUACAUAAUAAUAAUUUAUCAGAGGCAGACUUUACAAGUACCGUCUGCAUAGGGACCUCUGUCCCACUCAUGCUUAUUCAGUCAAGCUGCUGCGCUUGCACGGCUGUUUCUGUUUGAAUGUGUUACGGCAAACUGUUGCCAAUGAGAUGAGUCUGUUGAGAUGACAUCACGCCUGUGAACGAUGACUGGAUUACUACUUAUAUACUCGUAUGUGGUACUUAUAUAUUUACCUCAUAGUGUCAAAGAAUACGCCAUUGUAUCCAUGAGUCGGUGUCUUCAAACGAGUCACUACGGGUAGCUUCAAUAUUUCAAAGCCAAAACACAAUUUCCAGAAGAGAGACUGAUUGGUAUUAAUGAUCCUAGAACUUGUCAGCAACUUUCAAUUCGACAUCUUGAUGAAUUGAACGUUAAAGAUGAUUUAAGAAAUCAACCUACUUUAAGUUCAUCCGUGGAAUAUUUUUUGGCGCUAUAUUUGUGUAUCGGGUUCUGUUAAUUCAGUAUAUUUAGGUUUAAAAAAGAUAUUCUGCAGGGAAGUUGUACAAUUAAUGUACAAUGAGAAUAUAGAAGCAUGCAGGUACAGGCGGAGACCUAGAUUACUCUAUGAUAAUCAGGUAGAUCGUAUUCUACCUGAGGCAGAAGUAAAAACUCUCCGAAGGCAGCGUAAAUACAUAAGACGAGUUGUGAAAGGAGACGAAGCAGAAGAUAUACGAGCCUGAAGAAGUUUUAGUGAAGAUAGUUUUUUUUUGGGCGAUAAUGAAAUAGUAACCCCGCCUGCGCCAUCGGUAUACACCGGCGGGGCACCAGUGAAAGAUGAGGAUGAAGCAGGUCAGUUAGCCCAUAGUGACGAAUUCAACAAGAAUUGUUCAAGAUGGUUUCCAGGGGGAACCACGUGGACGUCGACGUAACAGGGCAUAUUGUUAGCAAUGGGGCUGUCAAACUCCAUUGCUAAUAAUCCCUUUCGCCCCAGGUGAAGAUAGUUACGUAUAAUUAUAAUACGAGCUAUCUCUUUCUACUAUGAAAACAAUAUUUUACCUUGUAUUAUUCAUUUUAUUAAUAAUUUGCUGUUUGUUAUCAUUAAUCUAUAAUAAGUACUAGUAUUUCAUAAUUGUUCGUGUAAAUAUGAUACACUUGCUCAAAUUGUAUUUGUAUUAUAGUUUCUGAUGUGAUAUUUAAUGAAAAUAGUAUUGUUUAGUAAUCAUAGAUAUUGUAUAUCAAGUAUAAAGUUACGUAUCGUGUAUAGUUUCUAAGAUUCCUUUGUCUAGAAUGAUAAUAAAUACAUAUAAUUAAUGUAUUGGGUUGUUGUUCAUUUAUCGCUGCACUUCAGCUGAUUGUUCCCAAAGUAAAGAGAUGUUUCGUGAAAGAUUUCAUACUUUUCAUUAGUUUAAGAUCAAUUUUAGAAAUCUAAAUAAGCUGUCAUUGCGUAUAUUGUGAGAAAAAAUACCAGCUACCUAAUGUCUCUGCAGAAUCAGCAAAAUUUGGAGUAGUCUUUUAACCCAAACUUUCAGCUUUCUUUCACCUUUUCUAUAACUGUAAAACGUUCUAAAAUAAAACACUAUAAGGUUAUCAAGGUGGCAGUCGCAAUCCACUAUGAUGGUAAAUCUCAUCUUUGAACUAUUGUAUCCAUUUGCCAUCAGAUGAGAUCUGACUUCGGUCGCCUUCAAUAAAAUAAAGUUCUUGAAAACAAGCAGUCAAAUGCCGAAAGCUCAGUAACAUCUAGAAAAUCAAUUGAAUGCAUAUAAAAGAUAAUCCUAUUAAUUAAUAUUAUAAAUGGGAAAGUUUGUUACGAUAAGAUGGAUGUUUGUUACUCUAUUAUGCAAGAAUAACUAAACAAAUUAUACUAAAAUUUAGUACACGAAUAGGUUUAUUGUAACUUAGCAUAUAGGAUACUUUGUAUAUUUCACAGGGAAGAAGUCGCAGAAUACAACUAGCAUGGAAUAUUACGUAAGUGUAAGUAAUAUCAUCAUCUUAUCAGCCUUUAACUGUCCACUGCGAGAGCCUCCUUCUAUCGAUGGGUGUUGCCACGCUUGGCAGGCGGAUUGGCAAUUGCAGUUAGGCUUUUAGUAACAUUUAAAGAGGGACCCUGCUGCUCAUCCCUCCACUAUAAGAUCCCUUAAUCAUGUCUUACGACACCCACCUGAAAAAAAAGGGUGACCUGUUCUAUGCCGGGACCGCAUGGCAAUAAGUAAUAUUCUAAGCAAUAGUAGCUUCUCUAAACCCAAAUUCGUGCUUAAAAUAACGAUACAGUCCAGUAAAACUUAGGUACAUUGUUAUGUCACUCACUUUAAUGAUGUCACCGUUACCAUUUGAGGCGGUGACCAUAUGAGUCAGAUUUUGCACCGCAACGAGCUAUUGUGUACUGGCUAUUUUAGGGUCAGUACUUUUUUUUACGGCGCCACGUUUGUGAGGUUAACGUUGCGAAAAUAAUUCUCAGGUACAUUAUCGCAGGAUUAAUUUCUGCUUGACAGAGUGACCUUUACGCCAGACGUCGAGGGCGCACGGGCACGAGUGUCGUCUAGGCUUAACGACACGUCACAACACUUCAGACGAUCCCAAUUUAUAAAACAAUACAAAUACUGUAAUUUAAAACUUAUUUGUAUCAUAGU